UACGAAGGGGGCUAGCGUUGCUCGGAAUCACUGGGCGUAAAGGGCUCGUAGGCGGCCAACUAAGUCGGAUGUGAAAUCCCCAGGCUUAACCUGGGAACUGCAUCCGAUACUGGAUGGCUUGAAUCCGGGAGAGGGAUGCAGAAUUCCAGGUGUAGCGGUGAAAUGCGUAGAUAUCUGGAGGAAUACCGGUGGCGAAGGCGGCAUCCUGGACCGGCAUUGACGCUGAUGAGCGAAAGCUAGGGGAGCAAACGGG
rnacentral:rRNA from 1 species